UUUAGCUUUUGUGAACAGUGCUUUUAUGAAGACAGGUUUAUAAAUAUCUAUUCAAAUGCCUGCUUUCAAAUGUUUGUGUAUAUCCCCAGCAGGAGAAUUGCUGGAUCACAUACUAAUUCUAUUCUUAUUUUUUGGAGGAAGUGUUAUGCUGUUUUCCAUAGUAGUUGUACCAUUUUAUAUUCCUGCCAACAGUUCACAAAGUUUUCAAGUGCUCUACACACAUACCAAUACUUAUCUUCUGUUUUAGCUUCUGUAUGUUUUGAUAAGAGUCAUCCCAGUGGGUGUGAGAUGGUACAUUCACUUUUACACUUGAAAAACUCAACAAAAGCUGAGGGCAUUGGCAGAGUGUAAUAAAAUGUGUAAAAAAAUAGGAAAAAUAUUUAUUUUCUUCAAAUUUAGUGGUAUUCGAACCAGAAAUGUGCCAAGUACCUCUGUAGCAGGAGCAGCCAUGAAAAACAGAUCUCUCAAACACCGAAUGCAGGAGGAAGAGGGGUUUAUUAUUAUGGCCAGGAGCCUGGACGAUAAUUUGUUCAACGCCCAGCUGAUCUAACAAAGGCAGGUUCAGCCUUUAUAUAGGUUUAAAUUUUAGAUAUUACAGGUAAAAGAAUCUGAGGUUCAUAGUUUUAGGACUCACAUGUGAAAAGGUUUCUGUGUACAGUUUCAGGCAUCACAGAUGAAAGGGCCCUGGUUUACAAUUUUUAGACUCACAUGUGAAACAGUCUCUGUUUGCAGUUUCAGAAAUCACAUAUGAAAGGCUUCCGGUUCAGUUUUAGGCCUCAUAUGUGAAACGGAUUUAACGUUUCAGGCAUCACAAAUGAAAGAGGCCGUAUUACAGUUUUUAGACUCACAUGUGAAACGGUUUCUGCUUACAGUUUCAGAAAUCACAUAUUAAAGGGUUCCAGUUCACAGUUUUAGGACUCAUGGCCAGAGUGGUGGCUCAUGCCUGUAAUCCAAGCGCUUUAGAGGCCAAGGAAGGUGGAUCACCUGAGGUUGGCAGUUUAAGACCAGUCUGACCAAUACUGUGAAACCCCAUCUUUAAAAAAAAAAUAAAAAUAAUAAAUAACUUUAAAAAAAAGGACUCACAUGCGAAAAGGUUUCUGUUGGCUGGAGGACAGUGAUGCCCGCGGGUGAUGGGGACGUGAAGCUAGGCACCCUGGGGAGUGGCAGCAAGAGCAGUAGCAACGCCAGCCACCAGAGCCCCAGUGGCGCGGGAGCUUUGGCGAAAAGGGGAGGCUAAGCGGCGACAGCAUUGGCUUUUCCGACGGGGGGCGGGGAGAUACUGCUGAACUUGGCGCUGAUGCUGCUGGGGCCUACCGGCUGUGGGUGCCCUGGCGACAGUGGGGUCUGGGGUCUGGGUCCAAGGCGCGGCAGGCGAAGAGACACCUGCCGUCUCUCUGCCUCACAUUGGGAAGUGGGACUUCAGCUUGGAGCAGCUGCGUCAGUACAACGGGUCCCGCAACCCGCUCAUCCUGCUCUCGGUCAGUGGGAAAAGUAUUUCAUGUGACCAAAGGAAACAAGUUCUACGGCCAGUCGGGUCCAUAUGGAAUAUUUGCUGAGAGGGAUGCCUCUAGAGGACUGGCAACGUUUUUGCCUAGAUAAACAUGCACUUAGAGAGGAAUAUGAUGAUCUCUCAGAUUUGAAUGCAGUACAAAUGGAGAGUGUUCCAGAAUGGAAAAUGCAGUUUAAAGAAAAAUAUGAUGAUGUAGGCAGACUCCUAAAACCAGGGGAAGAGUCAUCAGAAUAUACAGAUGAGGACGAUACCAAGGAUCACAAUAAACAGGAUUGAACUUCGUAAACAACCAAAGUCAGGGGCCUUCAGAACUGCAAUUCUUACUCCCCUUUCACAGAAUGUCCAGCAUCUUUGGAUUUGAGUUACCUGCUGUGAAAAACAUUCAACAAAUUGUGUACAAGAGAAAUGAAUCUCACUAUGAAGAUUUGAAUUCUAGACAUUAUUUAUGCUGCCAAUUCAUUUGUUGCAGUUGUUUGUAAUGUCUAGUGGGGCUUCAUCAUCCUGAAAAGAAAGAGACAGGGAUUUUUUUGAAGAGCAACAAAGUCACAAGAUUAUUUCUUUUCUUUCCUUCCGUUUUUCCUUCUUUCCUUCCUUCCCUUCUCUUUCUUUCUUGUUGAAAUAUAUUGAAGACAACCAGAUGUGUAUCUGCUACUCAAGUGUACAAAUCUCCUCAAGAAACAUCAAGGGA